UACGUAGGGUGCAAGCGUUGUCCGGAUUUAUUGGGCGUAAAGAGCUCGUAGGCGGUUUGUCGCGUCGGAUGUGAAAACCCAGGGCUCAACCCUGGGCCUGCAUUCGAUACGGGCAGACUAGAGUAUGGCAGGGGAGACUGGAAUUCCUGGUGUAGCGGUGGAAUGCGUAGAGAUCAGGUGGAACACCGAUGGCGAAGGCAGCACUCUGGCCGAAUACUGACGCUGAGGCGCGAAAGCGUGGGGAGCGAACGGG
rnacentral:rRNA from 1 species